GAUGAAGAACGUAGCGAAAUGCGAUAAGUAAUGUGAAUUGCAGAAUUCCGUGAAUCAUCGAAUCUUUGAACGCACAUUGCGCCCGCCAGUAUUCUGGCGGGCAUGCCUGUCUGAGCGUCGUUUCGACCCUCGCGCCCGGCUUCUGUCGGGGGCGGUGUUGGGGAUCGGCCACACCCUUCAGUGGGAGGCCGGCCCCUAAAUUCAGUGGCGACCACGCUGUAGCCUCCCCUGCGUAGUACUAAAACCACCUCGCAGGCGGAGAGCGGUGCGGCCCGCCGUAAAACCCCCCAACUUUUACAAGGUCGACCUCAGAUCAGGUAGGAAUACCCGCUGAACAUAAGCAUAUCAAUAAGCGGAGGA
rnacentral:misc_RNA from 1 species